GUCUUUUAGAUAAUAAUUUAAAGUCUGGCCUGCCCACUGAAUAAAAUUUAAAGGGCCGCGGUAUUUUGACUGUGCAAAGGUAGCAUAAUCAUUAGUCUUUUAAUUGAAGGCUUGUAUGAAUGGUUGGAUGAAAUAUUAACUGUCUCAGAUUAAUAAAAUAGAAUUUAAUUUUUAAGUUAAAAAGCUUAAAUAAUAUUAGAGGACGAGAAGACCCUAUAGAUUUUUAUAAUUUUUUAUUUAUAAAUAAUUUAGUUGAGAGGAAUUUUUAGUUAAUGAAUUAUUUUAUUGGGGUGAUAAAUAAAUUUAAAAAACUUUAUUGAAUAUAAACAUUAAUGUAUGAAUUAUUGAUCCAUUUUUAGUGAUUAUAAGAUUAAAUUACCUUAGGGAUAACAGCGUAAUUUUUUUAGAGAGUUCAUAUCGAUAAGAAAGUUUGCGACCUCGAUGUUGAAUUAAAGAUUAGUUUAGGUGUAGAAGUUUAAAUUUUUGGUCUGUUCGACCAUUGAAUC
rnacentral:rRNA from 1 species